rnacentral:rRNA from 1 species
GAUGAACGCUAGCUACAGGCUUAACACAUGCAAGUCGAGGGGAAACGACAUCGAAAGCUUGCUUUUGGUGGGCGUCGACCGGCGCACGGGUGAGUAACGCGUAUCCAACCUGCCCACCACUUGGGGAUAACCUUGCGAAAGUAAGACUAAUACCCAAUGAUAUCCCACGAAGGCAUCCGAAUGGGAUUAAAGAUUUAUCGGUGAUGGAUGGGGAUGCGUCUGAUUAGCUUGUUGCGGGUAACGGCCCACCAAGGCAACGAUCAGUAGGGGUUCUGAGAGGAAGGUCCCCCACAUUGGAACUGAGACACGGUCCAAACUCCUACGGGAGGCAGCAGUGAGGAAUAUUGGUCAAUGGGCGAGAGCCUGAACCAGCCAAGUAGCGUGCAGGAUGACGGCCCUAUGGGUUGUAAACUGCUUUUAUGCGGGGAUAAAGUUAGGGAUGUAUCCCUUUUUGCAGGUACCGCAUGAAUAAGGACCGGCUAAUUCCGUG